rnacentral:tRNA from 1 species
CGGUAGCUCAGGGGCAGAGCAAGCGACUGUUAAUCGCUGGGUCGUAGGUUCAAAUCCUA